rnacentral:rRNA from 1 species
UAGCCGUAAACGAUACUCGCUAGGUGUCGGCCACGGUGCGACCGUUGUCGGUGCCGUAGGGAAGCCGUGAAGCGAGCCACCUGGGAAGUACGGCCGCAAGGCUGAAACUUAAAGGAAUUGGCGGGGGAGCACAACAACGGGUGGAGCUUGCGGUUUAAUUGGAUUCAACGCCGGAAAUCUUAUCGGGACCGACAGCAACAUGAAGGCCAAGCUGAAGACUUUGCCGGAUUAGCUGAGAGGUGGUGCAUGGCGUAGUCGUGU